rnacentral:tRNA from 1 species
GGCUGUUGAAUUAUCAGGCGAAAAUGCUUCCACGGCUGAAACACGGGUUCGAUUCCCGUAGGGGUCACCA